rnacentral:rRNA from 1 species
AUUCCAAUCGAACUCGGAGAUAGCUGGUUCUCCCCGAAAUAGCUUUAGGGCUAGCCUCAUAUUAGAUACCCGGAGGUAAAGCACUGAAUGGCCUAGCGCCCGAGAGGGUAGCGAAGCCUAUCAAACUAAGAAUGCCGGAGUAUUGAUGUAUGGGAGUCAGACAGUGUGAGAUAAAUCUCAUUGUCAAAAGGGAAACAGCCCAGAUCUACAGCUAAGGUCCCAAAUUGUAUCUAAGUGGAAAACGAUGUGGAAAUACGCAGACAACCAGGAUGUUGGCUCAGAAGCAGCCACUCAUUUAAAGAGUGCGUAAUAGCUCACUGGUCGAGCGUCUCUGCGCGGAAAAUUUAACGGGGCUAAGAUACAAACCGAAGCUUAGGCUGCACGUAAGUGCGGGGUAGGGGAGCGUUGUGUAAGCGGAGAAACAGUAGCGUAAGCGGCUGUGGAGUUUACAGAAGUGAGAAUGCCGGAAUGAGUAGCGCGAAUGUGGUGAGAAUCCACAUGGCCGGAAACCUCAGGUUUUUGGAGGAAGGUUCGUCCGCUCCAAGUUAGGCGGGAGCUAAGGUCAGGCCGAAAGGCGUAGCCGAUGCACAGACGGUAGAGAUUCCGUCCCCACCGAAAGAUUUAAGCACAGGGACACUUUUUGAAGGUCGGAGCCAGGUGUUGGUUCUGGUAGUGAUCGAGGGAAAUAUAGUACCGAAGUCCGGCUGGAUAAGAGGCGAGAAAAGCUGUGUGUAUAUCUAAGGUGCCCGUACCGCAAACCGACACAGGUAGGUAGGAAGAAGAUUCUAAGGCCAACGGGAGAAGGGUUGUUAAGGAACUCGGCAAGUUGACCCCGUAACUUCGGAAUAAGGGGUGCUCACGAGAGUGAGCCGCAGAGAAUAGGCCCAGGCAACUGUUUACCAAAAACACAGGUUUGUGCUAAAUCGAAAGAUGACGUAUACGAGCUGACGCCUGCCCGGUGCUGGAAGGUUAAAAGGAGAUGUGCAAGCAUUGAAUUGAAGCCCCAGUGAACGGCGGCCGUAACUAUAACGGUCCUAAGGUAGCGAAAUUCCUUGUCAGGUAAGUUCUGACCCGCAUGAAAGGCGUAAUGAUCUGGGCACUGUCUCAACAGCCCGCCCGGCGAAAUUGUAGUACCGGUGAAGAUGCCGGUUACCCGCGACAAGACGGAAAGACCCCAUGGAGCUUUACUGUAGCCUAAUAUUGGGUUUCGGUGUUGCAUGCACAGGAUAGAUGGGACGCUAGGAAGUGAGUGCUUUGGCAUUCAUGGAGCGGCCGUUGGGAUACCAUCCUUGCGACAUUGGAAUUCUAACCUGCGCCUUUGAAUCAAGGCGGGGGACAUUGUUAGGUGGGCAGUUUGACUGGGGCGGUCGCCUCCUAAAGAGUAGCGGAGGCGUUCAAAGGUUGGCUCGUCCUGGACGGAAACCAGGAGAGAGAGUGCAAACGCAAAAGCCAGCCUGACUGCGAGACUGACGGGUCGAGCAGAGACGAAAGUCGGAGUUAGUGAUC